GGCCGCAGGGGGACACCCAGGAGCUGCAGGCAGCAGGGGUACCCUGCAGACUGCAGCUGCUGCAGGUGGCUCCUAGCCCCUGUGCAGCUGCCCCUCUUCAG